GGACCCGCACAAGCGGUGGAUGAUGUGGAUUAAUUCGAUGCAACGCGAAAAACCUUACCUACCCUUGACAUGUCAGGAAUUUUGCAGAGAUGCGAAAGUGCUCGAAAGAGAACCUGAACACAGGUGCUGCAUGGCUGUCGUCAGCUCGUGUCGUGAGAUGUUGGGUUAAGUCCCGCAACGAGCGCAACCCUUGUCAUUAGUUGCUACGCAAGGGCACUCUAAUGAGACUGCCGGUGACAAACCGGAGGAAGGUGGGGACGACGUCAAGUCCUCAUGGCCCUUAUGGGUAGGGCUUCACACGUCAUACAAUGGUUGGUACAGAGGGUUGCGAACCCGCGAGGGGGAGCUAAUCCCAAAAACCAAUCGUAGUCCGGAUUGCAGUCUGCAACUCGACUGCAUGAAGUCGGAAUCGCUAGUAAUCGCGGAU
rnacentral:rRNA from 1 species